rnacentral:rRNA from 1 species
GAUAAACGCUGGCGGCGUGCUUAACACAUGCAAGUCGAACGAAGUUUUUCCUUCGGGAGAAACUUAGUGGCGGACGGGUGAGUAACGCGUGGGUAACCUGCCCUGUACAGGGGGACAACAGCUGGAAACGGCUGCUAAUACCGCAUAAGCCCUUAGCACUGCAUGGUGCAUAGGGAAAAGGAGCAAUCCGGUACAGGAUGGACCCGCGUCUGAUUAGCCAGUUGGCAGGGUAACGGCCUACCAAAGCGACGAUCAGUAGCCGAUCUGAGAGGAUGUACGGCCACAUUGGGACUGAGACACGGCCCAGACUCCUACGGGAGGCAGCAGUGGGGAAUAUUGCACAAUGGAGGAAACUCUGAUGCAGCGACGCCGCGUGAGUGAAGAAGUAUUUCGGUAUGUAAAGCUCUAUCAGCAGGGAAGAAAAGGACGGUACCUGACUAAGAAGCACCGGCUAAAUACGU